rnacentral:ncRNA from 1 species
AUCUUCAGGGCGGGGCGCAGUUCCCCACCGGUGGUUACAGCCCACGAGCCGCAAGGUAUGAUUCGGUGAAACUCCGAAGCCGACAGUAUAGUCUGGAUAAAAGAAGAUU